GUAGGUGGCAAGCGUUAUCCGGAUUUAUUGGGCGUAAAGCGAGCGCAGGCGGUUACUUAAGUCUGAUGUGAAAGCCUUCGGCUUAACCGAAGAAGUGCAUCGGAAACUGGGUGACUUGAGUGCAGAAGAGGACAGUGGAACUCCAUGUGUAGCGGUGGAAUGCGUAGAUAUAUGGAAGAACACCAGUGGCGAAGGCGGCUGUCUGGUCUGCAACUGACGCUGAGGCUCGAAAGCAUGGGUAGCGAACAGGAUUAGAUACCCUGGUAGUCCAUGCCGUAAACGAUGAGUGCUAGGUGUUGGAGGGUUUCCGCCCUUCAGUGCCGGAGCUAACGCAUUAAGCACUCCGCCUGGGGAGUACGACCGCAAGGUUG
rnacentral:rRNA from 1 species